GAUGAACGCUGGCGGCGUGCUUAACACAUGCAAGUCGAACGGAAAGGCCCCUUUGGGGGUACUCGAGUGGCGAACGGGUGAGUAACACGUGAGUAACCUGCCCUUGACUUCGGGAUAACUUCAGGAAACUGGGGCUAAUACCGGAUAGGAAUCCUUGCUGCAUGGUGGGGGUUGGAAAGCUUCGGCGGUUUUGGAUGGACUCGCGGCUUAUCAGCUUGUUGGUGGGGUAGUGGCUUACCAAGGCUUUGACGGGUAGCCGGCCUGAGAGGGCGACCGGCCACAUUGGGACUGAGAUACGGCCCAGACUCCUACGGGAGGCAGCAGGGGGGAAUAUUGCACAAUGGGCGGAAGCCUGAUGCAGCAACGCCGCGGGCGGGAUGACGGCCUUCGGGUUGUAAACCGCGUUCAGCAGGGGCGAAGCUUGUGGUGACGGUACCUGCAGAAGAAGCACCGGCUAACUACGUG
rnacentral:rRNA from 1 species